CCAGACUCCUACGGGAGGCAGCAGUGGGGAAUAUUGCACAAUGGGGGAAACCCUGAUGCAGCGACGCCGCGUGAGUGAAGAAGUAUUUCGGUAUGUAAAGCUCUAUCAGCAAGGAAGAAGAAGGACGGUACCUGAGUAAGAAGCCCCGGCUAACUACGUGCCAGCAGCCGCGGUAAUACGUAGGGGGCAAGCGUUAUCCGGAUUUACUGGGUGUAAAGGGAGCGUAGACGGCGAAGAAAGUCUGAAGUGAAAGCCCGCGGCUCAACCGCGGAAUGGCUUUUGAAACUUUUUUGCUUGAGUGCCGGAGAGGUAAGCGGAAUUCCUAGUGUAGCGGUGAAAUGCGUAGAUAUUAGGAGGAACACCAGUGGCGAAGGCGGCUUACUGGACGGUAA
rnacentral:rRNA from 1 species